GAGCGUUGAAGCAUAAUAGCGUACCGGGAUGCCUUGUUAUGCAGAGCUUUCAGUAGGGGUUGUGCAGUAACCUCAAACCGGAGUAGGCUGCAAAGCCGAAAGAAAAUGCUCAAA
rnacentral:sRNA from 12 species